AUAUCACACUAAACAAACAUGUUUAUUAGAAUUCGAGAGAGAGUGUGUGCGAUGGGAGAUGACACAUUGAGUUCGAUAAUGAUGGCGAGAGGUGAUAAUAGAGAUCGAGAACUUCUCAUUCCGGUAGCUCACUCGCCGACCUCCUCCGGUGACGAUGACGAAACUUCGAAACCUUCUUCUCCCACUGUUGCUUCAUCUCAUCUCUCCAACCGCGAGGAUACUUUGGAAGCGAGGUGUCCGUAACUUCCUUCAUGGGUAUUUUUUUCUAAUUCACCUAAGCUUUAUUGUCUAAGCGUUCGGAGUUGUGCUUGCAUGACUUUCGGUUAGAUGAUAAACUUUCUUGAAAGAAAGAUAUCCCAGAUGCGAUUUAUUGUAUUUCAAUACAAUUCAUCUACGUGUAUAUAUAAUGAUAGUCUGCAAUAUAUAUAUAUAUAAUGAUAGUCUGCAAUAUAUUAUAUGAAGAUCUGAUGUAUAUCUAUAUCUUUAUUUUUGUAUAUAUUACUUCAUAUGUCUCCUGGAUAGUUCACCUUGGGGGACGAGAGCUUGACAUGUAUUUUAAGACUCCUAAAAUAUUUAGUUUCAUAAAUUAUUUUAAUUUUUUUAUUAAAUAAAAGUUAUGAUUGUCUGU